GNGACCCCAGGAUGGGCGAGGCC
rnacentral:rRNA from 1 species